AGUGGAGGUGGGAUCGAGAUCCAGGCUCCAGUCCACAGGGAACGAGUCCUGACCCGUAAAAGCUUUGUUGGGCUCUCCGGAGCUCGGGGUCAGUGCUCAGGGAGAGGGGAAGCGUGGCUCCCGUCUGCCAAGAGGAAACCCAGCUCUGAGGAUGAAUUGUAUGUGACUUGCAUCAACUUUCCCAAGGGUUGGAGCAAUAUUGCAGUAAUAAUUACUGGGAUUCCCUCAUACUGCACCUGGACAAGAUUCACGUGGAUCAGCCCAGAUUCUACCAGACCAGAUCAAAGUGCUUGACCUGACCUACAACUUUGGAUCGGUGGGAUCUGUGAUGUUCACAACUAUCUAACCCGAGUGUCACCAGCGCUGAAGGGCAGUGCGACUGGAGUGGUCCGUGGCAGUGAUGGAAAGGUUGCAGCAUCUUCUAAUCCUCACUCUGCUGGGUGUAGCAACCUUUGGCAAAAGCUUUGCAGAGAGCAGCACAACGCCAAAUUCCACAGUGCCAACGGAAUCCAAAACACCACAGAUUGCUGCCAUCGUGGCUCCCUGUGUGAUUGGGGCUGUUCUGCUCAUUGCCAUCCUCCUCACUGUGGUCAUCAUAAAGCUGAAGGGAAAGCGGAGGGAAGAAGGAACGUACAACCCCAGUCAACAGGAGCAGAUUGGAGCACGAACGCAGAUCAACCACGGGCUGAAGCUGCCGCCUGAGGAACGGCUCAUCUAGCCAAGCUCCCACCAGCCCCACCACAGAGAUACCACUGGGAACUGUUGCUGGAAUCAGUCAGAGCAAAGAAAGUUUGCCACUGUUCCUCUUUUUUUUAGGGAAUGUCAUAUUUUAAGAGAGACUUUGUGACCUUUGCCCUUUUCAUAGAUUUUUCUUUGUGGGAUUGAAGGUUAAGGACAGUCUGUGGGAGCUGUACAGUAGACAGCAUUUCUCCUUUGCCCUAAUCCCUCUCAGUUACUACUGGAGUGAGGCAGUUACACUGCUCUGCUGCUCUAAGGUACCAUCAGUGUUCCAACCCCAUGUGACAAGUUGUGCCUCCCCUGUACUAGACUGCUGUGUGCUGCUGCUCUGUGAUAACAUCAGAUGUGAGGCUUCUGAUCCUGAUGACAGAUCUGGGGGGAAAAUGGUCCAAGGCAUUUCCGUGAGAUCUUUGGACAGAGGAGCAAACUGCGUCAUAACUAGGUCUGUGUAGCAUACAUUCUCCCUUGAAAUUAGAAAUAGACCUAGAACCAACACAGCAUCCCUCCAACAAUGAAAGCUGGUGCAGUGAACUGAGUUGGUACACAGCAGGCAGGAGUAACAUUUGGUAGUCCCACUAAUAUUCAUUUCAUCCAUAGAUUUGUUUCCUCCCAUAACGGGCAAUCUCGUGAUACUGUUGUGUCAAUGAGUUAAUGCUUCCUGGUAGAAAGUCAUGGAUUUCAGUCACAUUGGUUAUACCCCGAGGGACCUUCAUUGCCUCAGUGUCUAUGUAAUUUUAGAAAAAAAUGCUAGUUUGUAUUUUUUUUUGGAAGAAUCUUGUACUGGAAACUGCUGGAUUCUCUGGUUUGGCCUGUUGUGUUUCAGUAGUUCAAUAAUAAUGUAGUAUAAUUAGCUUUAGGAUGCAGACUUUUGUGUGGGGCUGGCUUCAUGUUGGCCUAUGUCUACUGCAGUUUCACUGUGGAGCCACUAAUAGACUCCUGUUAGCAUGUGGAUCCUAGGGUGGAGAUUGUUAGACACUGGAAGAUGCCUUAAAGUCCAUUGGUGAGUGAAAAAGCAACAUGAGCAGAAAAAAUUCAGAUUUGUGUGAGUUGCACAUAGUGGUAAAGGGCAAGUGUUGAUGCCUUGAUGGGAGAUUUUGAAACACUAUUUUUCUGCUGCUGAUUUUGAUGCAUCUUGCACUAGAUAAAUAUUUGUAUAUUGUUGAAUUUGGGUUAGUUUUCUCUCAAUGACACCAGAAUCUGAUGUCCCCAUUUCUCUGGAUCACAGGUGCUUUUAGUGACCCAGCAACAUGUAGACUGCAAAAUUAAAUCUCUUCACGUCUAGGUCAUUAAUUGCUGUUACGUGAACACUGGAUUCGUUUAUAUCAGGGCCCAAACUCUGCAUGGAUUUAUGCAGCAAUCAAACUGAGAUUAAGACAUUCUUGUUCUGGUAUUUUGACUUCUCAUUUUUAAAGUCAGAAAUUGUACACAGUCUAUAUUGUUAUAACUAGUAUGCACUUUGUCUAGAAAAAUCAUAUUUACUGUUUUUGACUUUUUUCCAUGAUUGAUUGUUUAAAUGAAUAAUAGAAUCGGAUCCUGUAAAUGUGGCUAUUCACCUUCUUACCAGGGGUUGUGCCUUGGAGAAAUUUAACUCAUAGCAACUUGAUUAGAGCAUUCAAUAUUUAAUUCCAUGUAAUGCUUUCAACUGAAGUGUUGACCAUUAAGGGGCCAAAAUCUAGGUCUAGUUAUCCUGACCCACUAAUUUUGUUUCACUUGAACAAUCGAUGUGUGUACUGUAAAAUAGAAUGUCAGUUAGUUUUGUGGAUUAUGAAACAAAGAUAAGUGCUAACAAUUGUUAUGAUUUUAAAAACUCUCUUCUUAAUAUAGACUGGAAUGUGUAUGGCUGAACACUGUUAUAACUGGUGCUUGCACUGGGUGCUGGGGAACGGCUUAAAGCCAGGUUAAAUAUUCAUAAACCCACCAUGUAAUCAAUUCCAGAUACAUUUGAAUCAAAGAACUGUAAGCUGCUGGAAACCUGAAAAAAAACAAUGCUGAAAGCAGUCAGCAGGUGACAAUUCGGGUCAAGGAUCUGUCAACACAACUAGAUAAAUUUCCCCAAUUGUGCUUUGAUGUGUUUUGUUUUUUUAUAUAUAGGGAAAAGAUUGGGGAAUUUUAACCCUGUGAAAACAAGAGCAUCAAUCUUUUUACUAUCUGAUCUUGAAUUUGCACUCUUUUGUACAUUGGUAUAUAUUUAGCAUACAUCUAUGUAGUUAGCGUCCAAUUUAAAGAGGUUCUCAAACAAGCUUUUGUGCACAUCUUUAUUCAGAGAAGGCAAACUUUUUUCAUCGUCUGCAUUGACAAAUGAGGUUCUGUCAAUUCUUACAGUUUUCCAGGCACCCAUAAUCUUAUACCAGACAAGCUGUAAUUGGUUAUUAAAAUACUGUGAGUCACUGCA